rnacentral:misc_RNA from 1 species
AAAAAAAAGACUUCAAGAGAACAAGUAAAUUAAAUUACAAAGGCAGAAUCUCACAUUUCAUCAAAUCAUCACAGAAUCACAUACAAACACGAAUACAUCUACAAAUAAAGAAAUCAAGAAACCAGAAGGAAUUGUCUUUGUCAGAGACCAUGGGGAACCAUCUUCGUCCCGACUUGGGAGUCUUGACAUGUUGCGGGAAGAAGCAUCCCAAAUGCAAACCGAAACCGAAAAGCGACCGGGAAUAAAAACUAAGAGUGGAACCGAAAAUGGAACCUGAGAAGUGGAAAAUGGUCGGCAACGCUUGAUUGAAACUGUAGGCUUCAACGGCGCCGGGAAAAGGAAGAAGGAGGAAGAAAAGAUGGUACAGGUUGCUUGGCUUAAGAAAAGGAAGAAGUAAAAAACAAAUAGGUUGCAGAAGCAUCAAGGGACCUUAGGAAGUAAUAAAAUGGGCUUGAAGUUUAUAGGAAG